GGGGGGAAGCAGAUAGCUCAGCAUCACGUGAUGUUGUUAGCAAAGCCAAGGAGCUGCUGCAUCUGAGCCGAGCCACAAGCAACAUCCCCCUCCACACUGAAAGGUCGUCCCGCACCCGCCAGGCACCAUGUCGUACGGCUCCACCGACGAAGGCUCCUUCGGGCCCCGGAACCCCUUCGGAGGCCCCAGCAGUCAUGGCUACCGACCCGUGGGUAAAGACGGCACCUUUUCAGAACUGCAGGAUGUGUUCCAAGAACCUCAUCCAAUAUCUUCCAGAUCAAUGCCAACG